rnacentral:tRNA from 1 species
GGUUCCAUAGUGUAGCGGUUAGCAUGUCUGCUUUACAUGCAGAAGGUCUUGGGUUCACCCCGCAGUGGAGCCA